AUGUAUAUAUAUAUAAGUAGUUAUAAUCAUCCUGCACAUACUUGAGACCUGAGAAAAUCAAAUUCAUAUACUUUUUAUCUUACUGUGGAAUGUGAAUAUCUAAACAUAGAUUACAACACCAGCUACAAUAAGAGAUCUAAAGUAACUACAAGCUGAACUCCUUUUUUCCAGAGAGAUAAAUGUUCUUCCGGUAGCUGUGCUGUAGAAGCACGAAAAUGGGUUAUCGCAACGAUGAUCUUUCUCAUGAAGCAUUGCUCUGUCUUCUCUCGAAUUCUCUCCUUACAAGAUCAAAUACCAGCUCAUUCCAUGUAUCAACAGGACCUGGCAUGCACCAAUGCAAGCAGUCUUGUGGAGGGGGUUUACCAUCAGGACCUCGUUUUGUGAUUUUGUUUGGGUCGGGGCUUCUGUAAGGACCAGGAUGUCCAUCAUGGCGAUAUGCAAAGACUCCUGUGAUAUCCAUAAAUAGUAACGCGGACUUGUUGUUUUUCUUCUUGAUUGCACGAGUGUAACCCGAGAAUUGCUUUUCGUGCAUUAUGUUUGUGAAGCCAUUUUCAGCCAGCUCACCAUCCUCUGCAGGCUUCACUUUUCCAGUACAUGAUCCUCCCGUGUUCCAUGCUCCGCCCUCGUAAUGAUCAGGUGAAAAGGAACGGACAAUGGUGACACCACUGAAAUUCGGAUGUUUUGCCAUGGCAGUCAGGAUGGUUUCAACAGAGAUUCCAAAAGCUUCAACAUUAUUGACCUUCAUCUUUCUAGACUUGUCUGGCCACCACAAUUGUCCUCCAACAAUCUCAUUAUUCAGAACAUAAACAGAUUGCUUUGCAAACCAGUGGCCGGAGGAGAGCACAACGACAUCAAACUGGGGGAUGUAUUGCAUGAACCCAUCAUCAGGAACAUCAAGGUGGAGCUUAACUACACCUGCUGGAGCGAAAUCAAGAGGCCCAGAUGUUUGGUUGACAAGCCAUGAAGACCAA
rnacentral:misc_RNA from 1 species